rnacentral:rRNA from 1 species
GACGAACGCUGGCGGCGUGCUUAACACAUGCAAGUCGAACGAGAAUACUUAGACAGAAGCUUUCGGGUGGAAGACUUUGUAUUCGAGUGGCGGACGGGUGAGUAACGCGUGAGUAACCUGCCUUAAAGAGGGGAAUAACAACGAGAAAUCGUUGCUAAUACCGCAUAAGACUACAGGAUCGCAUGAUCCAGGAGUCAAAGAUUUAUCGCUUUAAGAUGGACUCGCGUCCCAUUAGCUAGUUGGUAGGGUAAUGGCCUACCAAGGCGACGAUGGGUAGCCGGACUGAGAGGUCGAUCGGCCACACUGGGACUGAGACACGGCCCAGACUCCUACGGGAGCAGCAGUGGGGAAUAUUGGACAAGUGGGGCAACCCUGAUCCAGCAAUACCGCGUGUGU